GCCUUCAUGGUGUAAUGAUAGCACACUCGGCGUAUAUUCGAGAGAUCCGAGUUCGAGUCCCGACGAGGGCA
rnacentral:tRNA from 1 species